rnacentral:rRNA from 1 species
AUUGAACGCUGGCGGCAUGCUCUACACAUGCAAGUCGAACGGUAACAGGGUGCUUGCACCGCUGACGAGUGGCGAACGGGUGAGUAAUGCGUCGGAACGUGCCGAGUAGUGGGGGAUAACGCAGCGAAAGUUGGGCUAAUACCGCAAACGUAUUGAGGUAGAAAGUGGGGGACCUUCGGGCCUCACGCUCUUCGACCGGCCGACGUCUGAUUAGCGAGUAGAUGAGGUAAAGGCUCACCAAACCAACGAUCGGUAGCAGGUCGGAGAGGAAGACCAGCCACACUGGGACUGAGACACGGCCCAGACUCCUACUGGAGGCAGCAGUGGGGAAUUUUGGACAAUGGACGCAAGUCUGAUCCAGCCAUUCCGCGUGCAGGACGAAGGCCUUCGGGUUGUAAACUGCUUUUGUACAGAACGAAAAGGUUUCUAUUAAUACUAGGAGCUCAUGACGGUACUGUAAGAAUAAGCACCGGCUAACUACGUGCCAGCAGCCGCCGUAACAC